AUACAGAGGGUGCGAGCGUUAAUCGGAAUUACUGGGCGUAAAGCGCGCGUGGGCGGCUUGGUCAGUCGGAUGUGAAAGCCCCGGGCUCAACCUGGGAAUGGCAUUCGGUACUGCCAGGCUAGAGUAUGGGAGAGGGAAGUGGAAUUUCCGGUGUAGCGGUGAAAUGCGUAGAUAUCGGAAAGAACACCAGUGGCGAAGGCGACUUCCUGGCCCAAUACUGACGCUGAGGCGCGAAAGCGUGGGGAGCGAACAGGAUUAGAUACCCUAGUAGUCC
rnacentral:rRNA from 1 species